rnacentral:rRNA from 1 species
UACAGAGGUCCCAAGCGUUGUUCGGAUUCACUGGGCGUAAAGGGUGCGUAGGUGGUCGUGGAAGUUCGGUGUGAAAUCUCGGAGCUUAACUCCGAAAAGUCAUCGAAUACUCUACGGCUCGAGGGUCGGAGGGGAGACUGGAAUUCUCGGUGUAGCAGUGAAAUGCGUAGAUAUCGAGAGGAACACCAGUGGCGAAGGCGAGUCUCUGGACGACUCCUGACACUGAGGCACGAAAGCUAGGGGAG